CGGCACGGGUGAGUAACACGUAUGCAACCUGCCUGCCACAGCCGGAUAAUCGGGAGAAAUUCCGUCUAAUACGGCAUAAUGCAUCGACGGGACAUCCUGUUGGUGCCAAAGGUUGAUUCCGGUGGCGGAUGGGCAUGCGGCGCAUUAGGUAGUUGGUAGGGUAACGGCCUACCAAGCCGACGAUGCGUAGGGGUUCUGAGAGGAAGGUCCCCCACAUUGGAACUGAGACACGGUCCAAACUCCUACGGAAGGCAGCAG
rnacentral:rRNA from 1 species